rnacentral:rRNA from 1 species
GACGAACGCUGGCGGCGUGCCUAAUACAUGCAAGUUGAGCGAUGAAGGUUGGUGCUUGCACCGAUUUGAUGAGCAGCGAACGGGUGAGUAACGCGUGGGGAAUCUGCCUUUGAGCGGGGGACAACAUUUGGAAACGAAUGCUAAUACCGCAUAACAACUUUAAACACAAGUUUUAAGUUUGAAAGAUGCAAUUGCAUCACUCAAAGAUGAUCCCGCGUUGUAUUAGCUAGUUGGUGAGGUAAAGGCUCACCCAGGCGAUGAUACAUAGCCGACCUGAGAGGGUGAACGGCCACAUUGGGACUGAGACACGGCCCAAACUCCUACGGGAGGCAGCAGUAGGGAAUCUUCGGCAAUGGACGAAAGUCUGACCGAGCAAAGCCGCGUGAGUGAAGAAGGUUUUCGGAUCGUAAAACUCUGUUGGUAGAGAAGAACGUUGGUGAGAGUGGAAAGCUCAUCAAGUGACGGUAACUACCCAGAAAGGGACGGCUAACUACGUG